GGAUUAGCCGCCAGUGUGGGAUCUGCAUGUGCACCAGCCCCGCUCGGCCGCGAGGUUUGCAGGAGGGGAAGGGAAGACCAGCCGUGGUGAAGGGUUUUGACAUCGGAGAAAACUUGAUCGCAGUCAUUGAGUACCUGCUGCUGAAAAGAAUCUUCUGGAAUGCCAUUUUGAUGUGGUGUGAUCUUUGUCGGCAAGUUCAUGUCAAAGGUCACCGAGCAUGUAGGGUGGGAUGCCAGCUGAAGCCCAAACAAGUGAGUAGAUGUCAAAAGCAAUUUUCCGAAAGUGCUGGCCUCGACAAGCAAGCCAUCGGCCCCCGGGGUGCCCGGCCCCCAAUGCAUUCAAGAUGUUUCUCGAAGGGGCUGUGGGAACGGCCGCCCAGAUGUCUCCAGGGAAGUCCCUGCCCUCACCUGUGGGUCUCCAGCAGGUCACUGCAGGGCCCUGGCUGCCGGCGGGUGACGACCGGGCUGAGUUUGCUCCCAGUUAAUUUGCUCAUGAAAUUAAUUGCUCGCUUCGCAGGCGCAGGAGCUGCUGCCAAGGCUGCACCUGAUGUCUGUCACUGGGCGUUUUCCUCCGAUCUAUUUGCCAUUCUCAGGUCCCACCUCUCAGCUAUGUUACCCACCCCUAAUGUCCUCAAAUCCUGUUCAUUGUUAGGGCACCUUGUGUUGUAAAAACUGAUUUACUGUUUUGAAUAGAUCAUUUUCAUAUUAUUCAUUGUUCGAACAUGCUAGAGAAAAAACCAAGAACUGCAUUCUCCCGGGCACUUCAGCCAGCUGGCUGCCUGCCUGGAGGCGGUCCCUGCUCACAGCCUCUGUCAUCUUGCAAAGGUGCUUCAAGUGUGUGUCAGCAGAUAUGGGUAUAUGCUCUUCCUUCCUCCUUUUCACACGGGUGGAAGCAGACUUUUCCCGUUGUCUACAGGACACUGGGCGGUAUUUUUCAGUGGAACCCGUCGACUCUGCACCAGUACAGUCUGCAAUGCUUGCACAUCUGAUGACGACACCAGCUCACAUUUUCCAGGGCUUUCUGAGCCGAGCACCAGGCAGAGGUUUCUAUGUUCAGUUUCCCACUUCCUUCUCACCACAACCAGUGAGGUAGAUGCUAUACCAGCUUCACUUCUCAGAUGGAUUGGAGAUUCUGAGGGAUUAGUGGCAUGUCUGAGGGACAUAACUCACGACUAAGAGGUGGCAGAGAUGGGAUUCGAGCCCUGAUCGGGCUGACACAGAGGUCCCAGUGGUUUGAAAUGGUUUCCCAAGGCAGCCCAGAUUCUUACAAUCCACAUAAACCAGAACAGACUCCAGGGGUACACUUCCCUGGAUAUUUAUUGCUCACCCCGCCUCGAGCUCAGUGCUGGGCUGAAUGCUCAGGGAUCAAAGAACUGGCUUCUCUAGGAAGAGAAACACCUAUGCGGCCAACCUCUGUCUAGUGAAAACAGGUAAAGUGUUAGACGUUGUGGGAAAUUUUUUAAGAAGUUCUUGCCUCUGGACCAGGCCCAGACAAAUUCCAGGCCGCUUCCUGGACAUCACGAUGAGUCCAAAAUGAACAUGACCCUUAGGGUUGUUACUUUCCAGGAUGUGGAAACAAAAAAUUCAGAAAAGGCCUGGCUGACACCACAGUCAUCUUCACCACGGCCUUCAGAAGGAGGAAGAACUCAAGCGAGUGACCAUGGAUUUGGGGAAAUAAGAGAUGAGCCAGCACAAAGCUUUCCCCUGCUCUCUCCUCGCCCCAGUGAAGAUCCCCUGUGGUGCUGGGGGCAGGAAGAAGAGUUGGGGCGUUGCAAGAAGAAAGCUGACAUGGUGGGGCCCUGAAUCCUGGGCUUGACUUUACUCAUCUUCCCCAUCUCCACUUCCUUACCACCUCCUCCGGGAAGCCUUCCCUCCUGACCUCCGCGUGGAGUUGGUUUGCCCUCCUCUAGGUGCCCAUGGAACCGCAUACUCUUUCUAUUUUAGCAGUUGUCUCUUAGAAUUGUAAUUGCCUGGUUUCCUGAGUGUUUUCCCCUAAAUCAGAAGUCUGCAAACUUUUUUCUGUAAAGAGCCAGAUGAUACAUACUGUAGGCUUGUGGGCCGUAAUGGUCUCUGUCACAGCCACGCGACUCUGCCACAGACAAAACACAAUCGAGUGUGCCCUGUUCCAAUAAAACUUUAUUUAUGGACGCUGAAGUUUGAAUU
rnacentral:lncRNA from 1 species